GGCCACGGUUCCGAGUUAAAUCGCCCGCGGUGAUUCGCGUUCCCGAUGGGAUGCCUGACAGCGCCCCGCACUCCCAGACCGGCGCGGGGCGGCGGUUUGCGUUCCCCAAAAGGUGCCGGACACCCGAUCGCCUGACACCAAAUCGUCCGGCACUCGAUCGUCUGACACUGACGUAACACCUGACGCCGACAGGAUGGGACGUCUGACACCGACUGGGCACCUGACGCCAGCAAAUCGCUCGGCAUUCAUGAGACGCC
rnacentral:lncRNA from 1 species